rnacentral:rRNA from 1 species
GUCGCACGCGAAAGGCCCUUCGGGGACGAGUAGAGUGGCGCACGGGUGCGUAACACGUAGCUAACGUACCCCUUCGCUGGGGAUAACUUCGGGAAACCGAAGCUAAUACCGAAUAAUCUGAUACGGUCUGCGGACUGUAUCGGUAAAGCCGUAAGGCGCGAAGGGAUCGGGCUGCGGCCCAUUAGUUUGAUGGUAGGGUAACGGCCUACCAUGACUACGAUGGGUAGCUGGUCUGAGAGGAUGAUCAGUCACACUGGAACUGAAACACGGUCCAGACUCCCACGGGAGGCAGCAGUUGGGAAUAUUGGACAAUGGGGGAAACCCUGAUCCAGCAAUCCCGCGUGAGUGAUGAAGGCCUUAGGGUCGUAAAGCUCUUUCAGCAGGGAAGAAUAACUGACGGUACCUGCAAAAGAAGCACCGGCUAACUCCGUGCCAGCAGCCGCGGUAAUAUGGAGGGUGCAAGCGUUGUUCGGAAUCAUUGGGCGUAAAGCGCGUGUAGGCGGCUAACUAAGUCUGGUGUGAAAGCCCGGGGCUUAACCCCGGAAGUGCACUGGAAACUGGUUAGCUAGAGGGCGAGAGGGGGAAGCGGAAUUCCUGGUGUA